AGUGAACGCUGGCGGCAGGCCUAAUACAUGCAAGUCGAACGGCAGCACAGCAGAGCUUGCUCUGUGGGUGGCGAGUGGCGGACGGGUGAGGAAUACAUGGGAAUCUGCCCAGUCGUGGGGGAUAACGUAGGGAAACUUACGCUAAUACCGCAUGCGCCCUUCGGGGGAAAGCCGGGGACCUUCGGGCCUGGCGCGAUUGGAUGAGCCCAUGUCGGAUUAGCUAGUUGGCGGGGUAAAGGCCCACCAAGGCGACGAUCCGUAGCUGGUCUGAGAGGAUGAUCAGCCACACUGGAACGGAGACACGGUCCAGCCUCCUACGGGAGGCAGCAGUGGGGAAUAUUGGACAAUGGGCGCAAGCCUGAUCCAGCCAUGCCGCGUGAGUGAAGAAGGCCCUCGGGUUGUAAAGCUCUUUUGUCCGGAAAGAAAAGCAUCCAGUUAAUACCUGGGUGUCCUGACGGUACCGGAAGAAUAAGCACCGGCUAACUUCGUGCCAGCCGCCGCCGUAAGAC
rnacentral:rRNA from 1 species